GAUGAACGCUAGCGGCAGGCCUAACACACGCAAGUCGAGGGAGGAGCUUUCGGGCUUCGACCGGCGUACGGGUGCGUAACGCGUAUACAAUCUGCCUUUCACAUAGGGAUAGCCCGAAGAAAUUUGGAUUAAUACCUAAUGGUAUAUAGGAGUGGCAUCACAUUUAUAUUAAAGCUGAGGCGGUGAAAGAUGAGUAUGCGUUCUAUUAGCUAGUUGGAGAGGUAACGGCUCCCCAAGGCGACGAUAGAUAGGGGUUCUGAGAGGGAUAUCCCCCACACUGGUACUGAGAUACGGACCAGACUCCUACGGGAGGCAGCAGUGAGGAAUAUUGGACAAUGGUCGGAAGACUGAUCCAGCCAUGCCGCGUGCAGGAAGACGGCCUUAUGGGUUGUAAACUGCUUUUGCAGGGGAAGAAUAAGGACUACGAGUAGUUUGAUGACGGCACUCUGCGAAUAAGCAUCGGCUAACUCCGUG
rnacentral:rRNA from 1 species